UGUUUUCUCGCUCUCUAUGUAUUACAUGUCCAAUCCAUUUCCAUCGCCUUCUCAUAAUGAUGGUAGCCAUGUUCACCAUCUAGUCCAGGAUCA